rnacentral:rRNA from 1 species
GCUUGUCUCAAAGAUUAAGCCAUGCAUGUCUAAGUACAAGCCUCAGUAAGGUGAAACCGCGAAUGGCUCAUUAAAUCACACCUAAUCUACUGGAAAGUUACUAGUUACUUGGAUAACUGAGGUAAUUCUUGAGCUAAUACAUGCGAAAAAUCUCGACUCACGGAGAGAUGCUUUUAUUAGAUCAAAACCAAACGGCUUCGGCCGUCUCAUUGGUGAUUCAUAAUAACCGAACGAAUCGCAUGGCUCACGCCGGCGAUAAAUCAUUCAAGUUUCUGACCUAUCAGCUUCCGACGGUAGGGUAUUGGCCUACCGUGGCUAUGACGGGUAACGGGGAAUUAGGGUUCGAUUCCGGAGAGGGAGCCUGAGAAACGGCUACCACAUCUAAGGAAGGCAGCAGG